rnacentral:rRNA from 1 species
UACGUAGGGUGCGAGCGUUAAUCGGAAUUACUGGGCGUAAAGCGUGCGCAGGCGGUUUUGUAAGCCAGGUGUGAAAUCCCCGGGCUCAACCUGGGAAUGGCAUUUGGGACUGCAAGGCUGGAGUGCGGCAGAGGAGACUGGAAUUCCUGGUGUAGCAGUGAAAUGCGUAGAUACCAGGAGGAGCACCGAUGGCGAAGGCAGGUCUCUGGGCUGACACUGACGCUCAUGCACGAAAGUGUGGGGAGCAAACAGG